rnacentral:rRNA from 1 species
UACGUAGGGACCAAGCGUUGUCCGGAUUUAUUGGGCGUAAAGAGCGUGUAGGCGGCCAGGUAGGUCAGCUGUGAAAACUCGAGGCUCAACCUCGAGACGCCGGUUGAAACCAUCUGGCUAGAGUCCGGAAGAGGAGAGUGGAAUUCCUGGUGUAGCGGUGAAAUGCGCAGAUAUCAGGAAGAACACCCGUGGCUAAGGCGGCUCUCUAGUACGGUACUGACGCUGGAGACGCGAAAGCGUGGGGAGCGAACAGG